AUUUCCUACGGGAGGCAGCAGUGGGGAAUAUUGCACAAUGGGGGAAACCCUGAUGCAGCGAUGCCGCGUGAGCGAUGAAGUAUUUCGGUAUGUAAAGCUCUAUCAGCAGGGAAUAGAAAAGAAGGUACCUGAAAAAGAGGCCCCGGCUAACUACGUGCCAGCAGCCGCGGUAAUACGUAGGGGGCAAGCGUUAUCCGGAUUUACUGGGUGUAAAGGGAGCGUAGACGGAAAGGCAAGUCAGAAGUGAAACCCCAAGGCUCAACCAUGGGACUGCUUUUGAAACUGUCAAACUA
rnacentral:rRNA from 1 species